rnacentral:rRNA from 1 species
AGCAGCCGCGGUAAUUCCAGCUCCAAUAGCGUAUAUUAAAGUUGUUGCAGUUAAAAAGCUCGUAGUUGAAUUUCGGGAUCAGCAGGUUGGUCGUGCCUCUGGUAUGCACUGGUUUCGCUGAUUCCUCCUUUCUGAAGAAUUGUAAUGUCAUUAAUUUGGUGUUGCAGGGAAACAGGACUGUUACUUUGAAAAAAUUAGAGUGUUUAAAGCAGGCUAACGCUUGAAUACAUUAGCAUGGAAUAAUGAAAUAGGACGUUUGAUCCUAUUUUGUUGGUUUCUAGGAUUGACGUAAUGAUUAAUAGGGAUAGUUGGGGGCAUUAGUAUUCAAUUGUCAGAGGUGAAAUUCUUGGAUUUAUUGAAGACUAACUACUGCGAAAGCAUUUGCCAAGGAUGUUUUCAUUAAUCAAGAACGAAAGUUAGGGGAUCGAAGACGAUCAGAUACCGUCGUAGUCUUAACCAUAAACUAUGCCGACUAGGGAUCGGAUGAUGUUAAUUUUUUAAUGACUCA